rnacentral:lncRNA from 12 species
GAAAUGUGUCACCAACUGGCUCUUGCAGUGCUGGAUUCUUGUGUUUUGGAGGAGCCAUCCUUCCCUCCCCAAAUGAUAAUGAGACUGGAAUACUGUGUGCAACUGGGUCUUACUGUCCAGCUGGAAGUUUUGCAGGAAUACCUUGUCCCAAGGGCACAUUUAGCAAUCAGCGUCAAUUGUCAGAUGUAAGUCAAUGCCAAAACUGCACACCAGGGUUUUAUUGCUCAGAGCCAGGCCUGACCACAGUCAGUGGACCCUGCUUGCCAGGUUUGAAUAUCAUUUACAGAAGACAUUUUUUAGGUCUUCACAGGACUUCUUUAAAUUGAAUAUUAAUAUAGCUUGUUUUAUUCCUACAGGGUUUUUCUGCAGUGAAGGAUCUCCGACUUCAGCUCCUGGGUCAGCCGUGUAUGGUGAUAUUUGUCCUCCAGGUCACUAUUGUGAAAUUGGUAGUGCUGUGCCAACUCCCUGUCCAGUGGGCAGCUGGCGCCCUGAUAGUGGGGGAAAGGGCACAGAUGAUUGCAUGCCUUGCCCUGGAGGUACUGUGUUACUCCAUUUUAGAGAUAUACUGUAUGCUCCUUUGACUUUAUAUAGCUCCAUUUUAGCGAAGUUUACUUUAGUUAUGAAGUCACUACCAUUUCUAGAAGAGGUCAAAUGCAAAAAUAAAUUGUACUCAUGGGUCUUUUUAUGUAUUGUUGUUGUUGUUUGACCGCAGGUCAGUUUCAGGAUCAGAAGGGACAGAGUGAGUGUAAACCCUGUCCUCCAGGUUUCUAUUGCAUCAACCUCACAAGAGGUUUUAUGGGGGUCAGCACUCCUUUGGUCUGUCCUGAAGGCUUUUACUGCCCCAGUGAGACUCAGUCUGGAAACCCAGUUCCAUGUCCCAAAGGCACAUACAGUGAUUCUCUUGGCCUCAUUUCAGCAGAGCAGUGCCUGGUGUGCCCUGUGGGACAUUUCUGCGGUUCAGAUGGACUCUCUGAGCCCUCGGGGCCCUGUGCCCCUGGAUUCCUCUGUUUUGUGCAGGCCACAGUUCCCAACCCCACUGACAACAGCACUGGCACUUUGUGUCCACCGGGGGCAUACUGCCUUCUGGGAACAAGAGCAGGUGAAUGUUCUGCAGGCUACUAUUGUGACUGGGGCUCCAGCAGUCCGGAGCAGAGCCUCUGUCCUGCCGGUUUCUAUUGCCCCACAGGCAUACACCAGCCCCUGGCCUGCACUGCAGGCACUUACAGCUCCGUCAUGGGCAACAGUCACCGAGAAAAUUGUGAGCCAUGUCCAUUAGGCUACUACUGUCAGGGUGCGGUAUUUAUUCUGUCUACAAGAAAAUUGGUUUAAAACCAUCUCUGUGCUCUUAUAAAUCUAUUACAAUUGAUCCUAUUGCAUUACAAUGCAGGGGAAGCAGUAGCAGAGCCUCUUCCAUGUCCACCGGGGCAUUUCUGCCCCACAGGCACAUCACAGGGCACUCAGUUCCCCUGCCCUCCAGGAACAAUGCAGCCACAGUCUGGGACAGCCAGUAUAGAUGAAUGUCUGCAAUGUCCUGCAGGUCAAACUGAAAAUACAUGACAACGAAAAAAAAUUAUUACAUACAGAGACUGCUGUUCAAAAAUUUGUGGGUCAGUAA